AGAGACUCAAAUACUGAAAAAUUAAUUAGCGCUGGCUCCCAUAGCUUCCGUUUCACUCAACAUGAUUCCAGCCCUGUCCAAACCCUGGGACUUUCCCUCUUGUGCCCCACAAUUGCACAUUCCCGUUCAGGGUGCGAGUACAUUGGGUUUCCAAAUUUUUCAAAGUGCUUUGUCAUCCUGCCCAUUGAUUUUUUCCGCUUCCGGGUUCUCUGCCGGACGCCCUCUUCCUUCUCAGCCAGACUCCCAAUACUUUUCAGGCUUGGACGAUUUUGUUUUCUCCAGCGUGGAACUCAUCUCCCUGACUCUAAAGUAAGUUUGAAUCUUUUAUUACACUGUCGAUCUUUUUUUUCACAGUUGGAGUGCCUGGGAGAGCGGAGGCUUCGUGGCCGUUUGUCUGCCGUCGAUCAUCGGACACAAAGUAUGGCUGCGGAUCGAGAGUUUGUUUUCUCUCCCUCUCCACCCCCUCCCUCCCCCCUCCCCGGCCGGGGAGGUGGUUAGGUGGUACCCAUGCUGACAGCGGCUAUCUGGAUUCUCGUGGCUAAUUCAGGAUAGGGGAACUGCAGCUCAACCUCCUCGAAGAGCACUGCCAGGACAAUUGAGGGCUCCUUUCGGCAGCCCUCUGCUGUGACAUGGACAUCCACUUUUUAUUUAAUUGAUUUUCAUGUUGUAUCAUUUGUGCCCUCUCUGCAUCCAUUUCAACCUGGUGAUCCUGAAAGGGGGAUCCUUCCAUCUGUGGUCCCUUCUCAAGGUUUCUCAUUUUCCCCCUGCUAGGGGUUUUUAAGUUUUUCCUUGCCCUUUUGGGAGCUUAAGAUCAGGGGAUGCUUUGAGAAUAAUUGUCAAUUUCUGUCUAUGUGAAGCCCUUUGAGACUGCUUGUGAUUUAGGGCUAUACAAAUAAACUUGACUUGAUGUCCUUGUUCCACAUUUCGGCUGAGCAGGCAUCGAUUUGCCAUGACACAGUCAAUGACAUGACACGCACUGUCCAAAUUCUGCAGUUUUUGCGUGCUUGCUGUGCACUUCUGCUAAGCGUACAUUUCAUUAACGACCGUAGGUUGGAGUUCACUUGUUCGGACAAGGCCAUAGCAGGGGAGGGGGUGACUGACAUCAUAAUCGGACAAGUGAUAUAAUAAAGGCAUGGCACGCAGUCCAGAUACAAGAGUUUAUGAACUAAUGUUUAAUUGUAUUGAAGAAUGUGUGAUGCCAAAAGUUGAAUAGUUGUAUAACUGGAAAAUAAUGGGGACAUUUUAUGUUAAAUAUUAAAUUGUGGGAAAAUUUUAAGUACUGGAUGCAGAGAGAGAAAAAUAACUCCCGGGUGGCGUGAAUAUAAGGAUUAUGUUAAAAUUUGAGUGGUGUAAAUCAGAUGCACUAUGUGGGCAUAUAAGGAGGACAAAAAUGUGAGUAGAAUAAUAAAAAUAAGAAAAAUAAUCUGAUUAACAUAUGUGUGAAUGCUGAAAGCAAUAAGGGGUUGGACGAGAUAAUUUUUUCUAAUUCUACCUACUCCUUCCUUUGAACAUACAUGUAAACUGCAUUGAAUUUGUAUGUAUUGAUCUUUUUCUUUUCAUUUUGUUUUUCUUCUUUUAUGUUUAUGUUCAAUCAAUCAAUAAAUCAGUCAAUCAAUCAAUAUAAUUAUAUUAAAAUACAUUGUAUUUGU